rnacentral:rRNA from 1 species
UGCAGUCGAGCGGAUGACGGGAGCUUGCUCCUUGAUUCAGCGGCGGACGGGUGAGUAAUACCUAGGAAUCUGCCUGGUAGUGGGGGACAACGUUUCGAAAGGAACGCUAAUACCGCAUACGUCCUACGGGAGAAAGCAGGGGACCUUCGGGCCUUGCGCUAUCAGAUGAGCCUAGGUCGGAUUAGCUAGUUGGUGAGGUAAUGGCUCACCAAGGCUACGAUCCGUAACUGGUCUGAGAGGAUGAUCAGUCACACUGGAACUGAGACACGGUCCAGACUCCUACGGGAGGCAGCAGUGGGGAAUAUUGGACAAUGGGCGAAAGCCUGAUCCAGCCAUGCCGCGUGUGUGAAGAAGGUCUUCGGAUUGUAAAGCACUUUAAGUUGGGAGGAAGGGCAUUAACCUAAUACGUUAGUGUUUUGACGUUACCGACAGAAUAAGCACCGGCUAACUCUGUGCCAGCAGCCGCGGUAAUACAGAGGGUGCAAGCGUUAAUCGGAAUUACUGGGCGUAAAGCGCGCGUAGGUGGUUCGUUAAGUUGGAUGUGAAAUCCCCGGGCUCAACCUGGGAACUGCAUCCAAAACUGGCGAGCUAGAGUAGGGCAGAGGGUGGUGGAAUUUCCUGUGUAGCGGUGAAAUGCGUAGAUAUAGGAAGGAACACCAGUGGCGAAGGCGACCACCUGGGCUCAUACUGACACUGAGGUGCGAAAGCGUGGGGAGCAAACAGGAUUAGAUACCCUGGUAGUCCACGCCGUAAACGAUGUCAACUAGCCGUUGGAAUCCUUGAGAUUUUAGUGGCGCAGCUAACGCAUUAAGUUGACCGCCUGGGGAGUACGGCCGCAAGGUUAAAACUCAAAUGAAUUUGACGGGGGCCCGCACAAGCGGUGGAGCAUGUGGUUUAAUUCCAAACAACCGCGAAGAACCUUACCAGGCCUUGACAUCCAAUGAACUUUCCAAAAAUUGGAUUGGGGGCCUUCCGGGAACAUUUGAAACAAGUGGCUGCUUGGCUUGC